rnacentral:rRNA from 1 species
UACGUAGGUGGCAAGCGUUGUCCGGAUUUACUGGGCGUAAAGAGCGCGCAGGCGGUCGAUCAAGUCGCGUGUGAAAGCCCCCCGGCUCAACUGGGGAGGGUCACGCGAUACUGAUCGACUGGAAGGCAGGAGAGGGUAGUGGAAUUCCCGGUGUAGUGGUGAAAUGCGUAGAUAUCGGGAGGAACACCAGUGGCGAAGGCGACUACCUGGCCUGUUCUUGACGCUGAGGCGCGAAAGCUAGGGGAGCAAACGGG